rnacentral:rRNA from 1 species
AGCGAACGCUGGCGGCAGGCUUAACACAUGCAAGUCGAGCGGGCAUCCUUGUGGUGUCGGCGGCAGACGGGUGAGUAACGCGUGGGAACGUGCCCUUCGGUUCGGAAUAACUCAGGGAAACUUGAGCUAAUACCGGAUACGUGCGAGAGCAGAAAGGUUUAUCUGCCGAAGGAUCGGCCCGCGUCUGAUUAGCUAGUUGGUGAGGUUAUGGCUCACCAAGGCGACGAUCAGUAGCUGGUCUGAGAGGAUGAUCAGCCACACUGGGACUGAGACACGGCCCAGACUCCUACGGGAGGCAGCAGUGGGGAAUAUUGGACAAUGGGGGCAACCCUGAUCCAGCCAUGCCGCGUGAGUGAUGACGGCCUUAGGGUUGUAAAGCUCUUUUCUUCGGGACGAUAAUGACGGUACCGGAGGAAUAAGCCCCGGCUAACUUCGUG